rnacentral:tRNA from 1 species
GCGUGUGUAGCUCAGUCUGGUAGAGUGUCUGGUUUCCACCCAGUUCGUCGCAGGUUCGAAUCCUGUCACCCGCG